GCUCACCGGGCUCCUGCCGCACGGGUCUCCGGCAUCUCCUGCGUGCGUGUUGUGUGUAUGUGAGUGCACCAUGUGCGUGUGCUCCUGGGUACAUGCGGUGGGUGUGCCGUGGGCUCGGGGGUACAUGUGGGUGAGUGUGUGUGCUUGUGGGUACAUGUGGUGGGUGUGCCGUGUGCUCGUGGGUACAUGCAGGUGAGUGUGUGUGCUUGUGGGUACAUGUGGUGGGUGUGCCAUGUGCUUGUGGGUACAUAUGUGCAGGUGAGUGCGUGUGCUCAUGGGUACAUGCGGUCAGUGUAUAUGCUCGUGGGUACAUGCAGGUGAGUGUGUGUGUGCUCGUGGGUACAUGCAGGCGGGUGUGCCGUUUGCUUGUGGGUACAUACGUACAGGUGAGUGAAUGUGCUCGUGGGUAUACACGUGCAGGUGAGCAUGCCAUGUGCUGGUGGGUACACGUGCAGGUGAGCGUGCCGUGUGCUGGUGGGUACACGUGUAGGUGAGUGAGCCAUGUGCUGGUGGGUACACGUGCAGGUGAGUGUGCCGUGUGCUCGUGGGUACACACGUGCAGGCGAGUGAGCCGUGUGCUUGCGGGCACAUGCGGUGAGUGAGCCAUGUGCUUGUGGGUACACACGUGCGGGUGAGUGUGCCGUGUGCUCGUGGGUACACAUGCAGGUGAGUGUGCCAUGUGCUUGUGGGUGCACAUGUGCAGGUGAGUGAGCCGUGUGCUCGUGGGUACAUGCGGUGUGUGUGUGCUCGUGGGUACAUGAGUGUGCCGUGUGCUCAUCGGUACACAUGCAGGUGAGUGAGCUGUGUGCUCGUGGGUAUAUGCAGUGAGUGAGCCGUGUGCUGGUGGGUACGUGUGGUAAAUCUGCACACGUGUCUGCAUCACGCCCAUUGUGUGUGCACAUGUGCAGGCGUGUCCUGUGUAUCCCAACAUGGGUGGUGGUGGCCGUGAGGAGGGAAGAAGCCAUUGCUGGCCCAGGCGGCGCCCAGGGGUCAGGUGGGGAGCAUGUGAGCCGUGCCCGGCCGCUCUCAGCACACUCUCUGCUGGUCACGACACCAUCGUGGCGGUUAUCCAGUUAGCUCCUACAGAGAACCUGAGGCCACAUGCGGUCACCCCAUCUCACCUAGGCAGGUCUCCAACUCUUGGGGUUUGAGAGAGUUUAAGUGACCCGCCGCCUCUGCCUCCCUUUGUCCUGGGGUGUGGGCGUGAGUGACCCGCCCGCCUCGGCCUCCCCCUGCCCUGGGGUGUGAGUAACCUGCCCGCCUGGGCCUCCCCCUGCCCCGGGGUGUGGGUGUGAGUGACCCGCCCGCCUCGGCCUCCCCCUGCGCUGGGGUGUGGGUGUGAGUGGCCUGCCCUGUCCUUCUAGAAUGACGUGGAGACCUUUCAAGCCUGUUGGCUCUGCCUGCCCUCUUCCAGUUCGUGUGUGCUCACCUGGAGUUUGAUCCUGUCCUUUCUAAAUCAUACAAAUUAGACAUUAAAAAGACCAAAACU